CCGGAAAUGGGACGGGACGAUAAUUCCAAAACUCAAGAAAAUAGCAUCCUUGGAGAGGAAAAAUGACAUCAGACACUUACUGGAGAAGGCUGACAAUCAGCAUGAUGAUGAGCUGUGUUACACUAUGUUGAAGAUCCUUAUUCAUCUUCUUCCACCCACUGCAUCUGUGAGAAGUGUAGCUGGGAGUAAAUGCUGUGUGACUUCUGCUGUGUCCUACCUGUUGGCUGGUACUGACGUUACAUCUUUGCUCGCUGAAUCCAUGAAAGGGACCGUGAAGUCAGCUCAGGCGCAGUUGUUUUCCAUCAGUUCUAUAGGACAUUA